AUUGAACGCUGGCGGCAUGCUUUACACAUGCAAGUCGAACGGCAGCGCGGGCUUCGGCCUGGCGGCGAGUGGCGAACGGGUGAGUAAUACAUCGGAACGUGCCCAGUAGUGGGGGAUAGCUCGGCGAAAGCCGGAUUAAUACCGCAUACGACCUGAGGGUGGAAGCGGGGGAUCUUCGGACCUCGCGCUAUUGGAGCGGCCGAUGGCAGAUUAGCUAGUUGGUGGGGUAAAGGCCUACCAAGGCGACGAUCUGUAGCUGGUCUGAGAGGACGACCAGCCACACUGGGAGUGAGACACGGCCCAGACUCCUACGGGAGGCAGCAGUGGGGAAUUUUGGACAAUGGGCGAAAGCCUGAUCCAGCAAUGCCGCGUGUGUGAUGAAGGCCUCCGGGUUGUAAAGCACUUUUGGCGGGAACGAAAAGGACUGUGCCAAUACCACGGUUCGAUGACGGUACCCGCAGAAUAAGCACCGGCUAACUACGUG
rnacentral:rRNA from 1 species